UAUCAAAGACUCGUUGAUGGUAAUUAAUAUAGAUAUACAUUUUGCAACCCUGUAUCACAUGAAAUACGUUCUGAGGAAACUAUUUUGCAAAUCGCAAUUACGUUACAUGCCAACAUAUAAGCAGUGCUAUUACGUUGGUAAUAUGACCCGUCGCCAUGGACACAAGGGGUCGGAUAUCUAAAGUUAAAUAUUUUUAACUUACGCGUGAAAUGGUUGAUUUUAAAAAUAUAUAUAUUCUAAGUAAACAACAACAGCCCAGGUUUAGUAAACAUUUUUUUAUUGAAACUAUAAAUAAAUAUUCUGCAUCCAUUUUAGGUGUGCCACUGUGGGUGGCUCCCGCACACCCCCGUGGCUACGCCCCUGCGUGACCCAAAUCUCGUUCGCACAUCAUCGCGAUGUUUAUCAUCAAUUUACAAACCUCGCCAGUCGCCUCAUCUUUUUUCUUCACAUACAUCUCAUACUCCUCCAUCUACACGCUCCACAACAUUUAAACCAACGGUUUUGACCAGUUAUGUCAGGAAGCUGCAACUAUUUCAAAGCAUCUUGAAAUGAAAGCUGACAAUGCUGAACUUGAAGCAGCUACCAGGGAGGCUGAAGAAAUUCUACAAAUGUUUAAUCCUCCACUGCUGAAAAAGAAGACCAAACGAGCGAUUUCCUGGACUCAACAGACACAGUGAACUUUGAACUGCAUUUCAAAGCCAGCUCCUCAGCCGCAACACCGAGAACCAGAGUUGAGGUCAAUGUACUGCUGAGAAAGUGCAAGAUCUAUUUAACCAAAAAUAUAAGGAUGCCAGAGGUACUGGAAGGCUCCCCUACCAAUCCCUGGUAAAUCAAGGCAUGACAGUUAAAGUUGCAGGACUGCCCAACAGCCUCAAAAAACCAUCCUAUUAUGGAAGGAACCAGUUGGAGGCCAUUUUGCAAGCUGCUGAGGAGAUUUUAUUUGAAAUCAAUGCAGCACAAUGCAACUCCACUGACAAAGCAGAAGGAAUGUUAGAGGCGAUGGACGCAGAAGAGCUGGAAGAACAGUCCUCAGAAACAGCCACCGCUGUAGCUAUCGUGAUGACUGCAGAUUAAGAUGGAGGCAAUUUGUGCUGUGUCUGCCGCAUCCUUUUCGAUGACAGGAAGAAGAAUGCUUCAGAGAAGUGGCGUUCAUGGUCACAGUGCACAGUGUGCCAAUCAUGGUCACACACUGCAUGUCAAGACACAAUGCAAACUUUGAGUUGUUUUUAUUUUGUUCAUGACCCCAUCCCUACAAACACACACACAUAUUUUUUUUAUUUUUAUGUAUUAGGUGCAAUUUAAUAUUUUUCAUGCAAAUGUAUUGUAAAGAUUACACUUAUAAGAAUAAAACAGAUUUUUCAUUCACUCUAA